ACACACACACACACACACACACACACACACACACACACACACACACACACACACACACACACACACACACACACACACACACACACACACACACACACACUGGAGCCUGCAUGGUACAACAAAGUGUCAUAUUGCUAAGUGAGGGAUGUAGAGGGAUGUUUGAGGAGAGUAGAUGAAAGAAAAAAGUCUAGAGUGUUUUUGGACCUCUGUGUGUAAAUAAUAAUAAUAUAUGCCAUUUAGCAGACGCUUUUAUCCAAAGCUUCUCCGACCCAGCUGAUUUAGUAGUGUGGUGUUUCUUCUGUUCUAUAUGGAAAACAGACUGACUGACUGCUGCCUGGGCUUAGGAUAGGACCAAUAGAAAACAGACUGACUGCUGCCUGGGCUUAGGAUAGGACCAAUAGAAAACAGACUGACUGCUGCCUGGGCUUAGGAUAGGACCAAUAGAAAACAGACUGACUGCUGCCUGGGCUUAGGAUAGGACCAAUAGAAAACAGACUGACUGCUGCCUGGGCUUAGGAUAGGACCAAUAGAAAACAGACUGACUGACUGCUGCCUGGGCUUAGGAUAGGACCAAUAGAAAACAGACUGACUGCUGCCUGGGCUUAGGAUAGGACCAAUAGAAAACAGACUGACUGACUGCUGCCUGGGCUUAGGAUAGGACCAAUAGAAAACAGACUGACUGACUGCUGCCUGGGCUUAGGAUAGGACCAAUAGAAAACAGACUGACUGCUGCCUGGGCUUAGGAUAGGACCAAUAGAAAACAGACUGACUGACUGCUGCCUGGGCUUAGGAUAGGACCAAUAGAAAACAGACUGACUGACUGCUGCCUGGGCUUAGGAUAGGACCAAUAGAAAACAGACUGACUGCUGCCUGGGCUUAGGAUAGGACCAAUAGAAAACAGACUGACUGACUGCUGCCUGGGCUUAGGAUAGGACCAAUAGAAAACAGACUGACCGACUGCUGCCUGGGCUUAGGAUAGGGCCAAUAGAAAACAGACUGACUGUGCCCUGUUAGAGUGUGCGUGUGAGAGGUGGAGUGUUUUUGUGUGUGUGUGUGAGCUGUCACUCGUGCUGACUGCUGAGAGCCAGCUCGGGGUUUGCCGGUCACAUGACUAAUGUGAGCGAGUAAUAAUUGACCUCUGCCGACAGCUCAGUGAAAAACAUGUAAAGACAUAUUCCUCUUUCUAACAGAGAGAGAGAGAGAGAGAGAGAGAGAGAGAGAGAGAGAGAGAGAGAGAGAGAGAGAGAGAGAGAGAGAGAGAGAGAGAGAGAGAGAUGAACCUGAGUAUAGGUCUCUUGUUGUUGAGAUAUUAGUGGAGAAAAAGAGGGAGCUGAAUCUGAGUAUAGGUCUCUUGUUGUUGAGAUAUUAGUGGAGAAAAAGAGGGAGCUGAACCUGAGUAUAGGUCUCUUGUUGUUGAGAUAUUACUGCAUGGUUGUAUCCAGUGGGGUUGGGUUACUAAAAUAGUUGCAGUCAGUUUCACGUGCUGAAAUGAUAGUUGCAGUCAGUUUCACGUGCUGAAAUGAUAGUUGCAGUCAGUUUCACGUGCUGAAAUGAUAGUUGCAGUCAGUUUCACAUGCUGAAAUGUGUGAGUGCUGGUAAGCUCUUCCAUAAUCACUGUACUCAUUUCCCUUACGAUCAAAUGUGGCCACGAGUUUCUGAAAAGUUGUCUUUUUUUUGUUGUUUUGCUGAAGUGACGAACUUCCAGGUUUAUGAAUGCAACCUUCAAUGUCACUGAUGCAAUAGAUUAGAACAGGAGGUUGAGUGGUUAAAGAAUGGUCGUUUAGGUACUUCCACUUGAAAUGCACACUGCAGGUGUCUGUAGAUAGAAGGUCCUCUUGGGUGAAGGGGUUCACACUGCAGGUGUCUGUAGAUAGAAGGUCCUCCUGGGUGAAGGGGUUCACAAUGACAGGUGUCUGUAGAUAGAAGGUCCUCCUGGGUGAAGGGGUUCACACUGCAGGUGUCUGUAGAUAGAAGGUCCUCCUGGGUGAAGGGGUUCACAAUGACAGGUGUCUGUAGAUAGAAGGUCCUCCUGGGUGAAGGGGUUCACACUGCAGGUGUCUGUAGAUAGAAGGUCCUCCUGGGUGAAGGGGUUCACAAUGACAGGUGUCUGUAGAUAGAAGGUCCUCCUGGGUGAAGGGGUUCACACUGCAGGUGUCUGUAGAUAGAAGGUCCUCCUGGGUGAAGGGGUUCACAAUGACAGGUGUCUGUAGAUAGAAGGUCCUCCUGGGUGCAGGGGUUCACAAUGACAGGUGUCUGUAGAUAGAAGGUCCUCCUGGGUGAAGGGGUUCACAAUGACAGGUGUCUGUAGAUAGAAGGUCCUCCUGGGUGAAGGGGUUCACAAUGACAGGUGUCUGUAGAUAGAAGGUCCUCCUGGGUGCAGGGGUUCACAAUGACAGGUGUCUGUAGAUAGAAGGUCCUCCUGGGUGAAGGGGUUCACAAUGACAGGUGUCUGUAGAUAGAAGGUCCUCCUGGGUGCAGGGGUUCACAAUGACAGGUGUCUGUAGAUAGAAGGUCCUCCUGGGUGAAGGGGUUCACAAUGACAGGUGUCUGUAGAUAGAAGGUCCUCCUGGGUGAAGGGGUUCAUUGGGCUUUAAAACAAAAAGGAGAACUACAGCACUCUUUAUAUAAUUCAAAUGCCAACUAAAAGUUGCAGUGCCUUUCGACCUCACUUGUCACAACGAGACAGUUGCCAUAGAGAAGAAGAAGUGAACUCGGGGUCAUGAAGGGGCGCCGCUGUUUUCUUUUGUAGCGGGCCGCUGUUGACUAACCACCGUCCUGCAACGCUCUGGCAGCGCUGUGGCACCGUGUCCCACAGGGGAAAGGCCUCGGGGACAGCAUCGAGACAACGUUGAAAUGCCUCAACUCUGGCUCACUCAACCUCAUUUCCUUUCAAAAACAAUCUCCUUUUUCCCCCCUUCAUUUUGAUUCCCUUGUUUUCCUGUUCCCAUGUCAGGGAGAAAAGAGGCCUGUGUGUGUCUGUAAUGACAGGCUUUCAAGGAGAGGGGAGAUGUUGUGUGUGUGAGGGUUUGCGACGCGUCGAGAACAUAAUGCACCGUGGAUCCCCAAACCCUGUCCAGACUUGUGUCCUCAAAUUACAUUAUGGGAACGCAUAGGUGUUAAAAUGUGGAGGUGGUUCAGUUUCCUACUCCCUGCUGCAAUAGUCCAUUAUUGUAGUGAAACUGUGGGCCGGUUGGCUCAAGGCAUUGUCGUGUCUCUAUUUCCUGUAUCUUUGUUGAUGUUACGGUGAUAACCUAUUUGAGGGUUUUGCAAAAAACUACAGUACAAUUAUUUUUCAUUCCAGUCCAUAGCCAAAGGAAUUUAGCAAAUGCUUGAUUAAUCCUGAACCUUUUCAAUUAUUCUCUGUGUUGGUGGAUCUCUCUGGGAGGCUGAUCCCUGUCGACCCACGAUGGAAGGAGCCCUAUAGUGCUCAGCCUCUCAGCUAUCAUCCUGGUCCAACCCGUUUAAUGACAGUAUGACUGGGACUUCAUCUGAGACAAUCCCUGUAUCGGUAUCCACAUAGCUCCGUGCGCACUCCCUCACGCCCUUAGGGCGAGGCUGUAAUGGCACCCUAUUGCCUAUGGGCCAAAAUGAGUGCACUAUAUAGGGAAUAGGGUGUGGCCAAAAGUAGUGCACUAUGAUAAAGGGAAUAAGUUACCAUUUUGGACAGAGCCUUCGACACUAUUUUAUGUUUUGGUCUGUCCUGUACUCCUGGCUGGUACAAGCUGUUCUUCAUUGCCAUACUCCUUCUGUGUGUGAGUGUGUGUGUGUGCCCUGGCUCUGUGACAGGGAGGCCCAUGCAGUCUGUGCUGUUACCAGGACACUGUUGGCUGGGUGACAGCAGAACAGUCUCACUCAGACACACAACAACCCAUCCCUGCCCUGAAACCUGCCAUAUUGGGCUCUGGUCAAAACAAGUACUCUAUAUAGGGGAUAAUGUGCCAUUUCAGACACUAUCUAUCUGUGAGGAUAGAUAGAUAGAUAGAUAGAUAGAUAGAUAGAUAGAUAGAUAGAUAGAUAGAUAGAUAGAUAGAUAGAUAGAUAGAUAGAUAGAUAGAUAGAUAGAUAGAGUAGAUAGAUAUGGGGAGAUGGGUAGGUAGGUAAAAGCCUCCAGGCUGACACUGCUGUUUCCGUAAUCUUCUCACAGGCCACUGCUCUGCUGGUAACCAGCAUGACACUAGUGUACUCUCCUAACCGCAGCGCUGCCGCGUGGUUGGUUGCUCGGUCGUCCUCUGUUGCCAUCGGCUUCCUUCCCAUUUCUGACAUCGCCCCUGGCGACGUUCUCUCUCUCUCUCUCUCUCUCUCUCUCUCUCUCUCUCUCUCUCUCUCUCUCUCUCUCU